UUUUACCGUGAAAAAAUUAGAGUGUUCAAAGCAGGCAGAUCCAAUUUUCUGCCACCGAAUACAUUAGCAUGGGAUAAUGGAAUAGGACCCUGUCCUCCUAUUUUCAGUUGGUUUUGGCAGCGCGAGGACUAGGGUAAUGAUUAAUAGGGAUAGUUGGGGGCAUUAAUAUUUAAUUGUCAGAGGUGAAAUUCUUGGAUUUAUGAAAGAUUAACUUCUGCGAAAGCAUCUGCCAAGGAUGUUUUCAUUAAUCAAGAACGAAAGUUAGGGGAUCGAAGACGAUCAGAUACCGUCGUAGUCUUAACCAUAAACGAUGCCGACCAGCGAUUAGGAGACGUUGAAUACAAAACACCACCAUCGGUGCGGUCGUCCUUGGCGUCUCGGUCCUUCACGGGGCCGGGGCGCGGGGGC
rnacentral:rRNA from 1 species